rnacentral:misc_RNA from 1 species
UCCGGGUUGGACCCGGCGGUCCCGCCAGACAUCGUAACUGGCAGCGAGGGUUGCGCUCGUUGCGGGACUUAACCCAACACCUCACGGCACGAGCUGACAACAGCCAUGCAACAUCUGUGCGUCUGUCCCGAAGGAAGACCCGCUUUCACGGGCUGUCAGACACAUGUCAAGUCCAGGUAAGGUUCUUCGCUUAUCAUCGUAUUAAACCACACGCUCCGCUGCUUGUGCGGGGACCCGUCAAUUCCUUUGAGUUUUAGCCUUGCGGCCGUACUCCCCAGGCGGGGUACUUAUCGCGUUAGCUUCGGCACAGGAGGGGUCGAUACCCCCUAUACCUAGUACCCAUCGUUUAGGGCGUGGACUAC